CAUCUGGCAGGUAUGGUGACAACAAUAGCAAAUAAAGCAAUUGACUCAUCUCUGCUGUUUGGUGGAGCUGCAGCUGCCUUUAAAGCAAGAUUAUUACAUGCUCAAAAAUGGAAAGGUUUAGCACUACUCACAAUGGAGGAAUGGCUGAAGAUGAUGGAACUUGCAGAGGUGGCUAAAUGGCCUUUUUUGAUAAUAGAAAAUAAAACAUCUACAUUUACUGCUGACUGGAAACCCCUUAUAGACUUUCUGCAUGAAACACCUAACCUUUUGAUUUGUGGUUCUGAUAAUUAGAAAAUA